GACGAACGCUGGCGGCGUGCUUAACACAUGCAAGUCGAACGGAAAGGCCCUGCUUUUGUGGGGUGCUCGAGUGGCGAACGGGUGAGUAACACGUGAGUAACCUGCCCUUGACUUUGGGAUAACUUCAGGAAACUGGGGCUAAUACCGGAUAGGAGCUCCUGCUGCAUGGUGGGGGUUGGAAAGUUUCGGCGGUUGUGGAUGUACUCGCGGCUUAUCAGCUUGUUGGUGGGGUAGUGGCUUACCAAGGCUUUGACGGGUAGCCGGCCUGAGAGGGUGACCGGCCACAUUGGGACUGAGAUACGGCAGAGACUCCUAAGGGAGGCAGAAGGGGGGAAUAUUGCACAAGGGGCGGAAGCCUGAUGCAGCAACGCCGCGUGCGGGAUGACGGCCUUAGGGUUGUAAACCGCUUUCGCCUGUGACGAAGCGUGAGUGACGGUAAUGGGUAAAGAAGCACCGGCUAACUACGUG
rnacentral:rRNA from 1 species